AUGGCAUUGGUUCUCAGAUUUGUUGAUGAAGAUCGUAUAUUGCAAGAGCGGUUCUUUGCCUUGAUACAUGUGACGAACACCAAAGCCGCAACACUUAAAGAGGUAUUGAGUUCUUUGUUAUCCAAACAUGCUUUUGACGUUCAGAACCUUCGUGGGCAGGGGUACGACGGGGCUAGUAAUAUGAGGGGGGAGUUCAAUGGCUUGCAAGCUCUUUUUCUUAGAGAAUGCCCAUAUGCGUAUUAUGUCCACUGCUACGCUCAUCGCUUGCAACUUGCGCUAGUGUCUGCAUCGAAGGAAGUGGUCACCGUUGCUCAAUUCUUUCAGAAACUUCUUUUUAUUGUAAACACCGUUGACUCCUCUGCAAGGCGCCAUGAUGAGCUUCGUGAUGCCCAGUUGGAGGAACUAGCUCGGUUACUAGCUAUUGAUGACAUUGAAACUGGUAAAGGGGCAAACCAGAUCUGCACACUAAAAAGACCCGGAGACACUAGAUGGGGGUCUCACUUAGAUUCUAUAUCCAGCCUAAAGAAAAUGUUUAAAGCAGUAAAUUCAGUGCUUCAAAAUAUAGCAUCAGAUGGGUCAGCUGGCUCAAUUCGUGCAGAUGGAGACACUGCUUUCAACUAUUUGUCCUCUUUUGAGUUCAUAUUUGUCUUAUGUCUGAUGGAAGAAAUAUUGGAGAUAACUGAAGAUCUUGGUCAAGCUUUGCAAAAGAAAUCACAGGACAUAGUAAAUGCCAUGCGUCUAGUGUGCACAACAAAGGUUCUUCUUGAUGAAAUGAGAUCAGAUGAUGGUUGGGAGGCCUUUUUUGAUAGGGUUGUUGAGUUCUGUGUAAACCAUUCCAUUGAUAUUCCAGAUCUGGGAGAAACUUACAUUAUGUGUGGUGGUCGUGCUCGUCGCCAACCAGAUCAUUUUACUAAGGAGCAUUAUUUACGGGUGGAAGUAUUUCAUGCAACACUUGAUACUCAGCUACAUGAAUUAGAAUUCAGGUUCAAUGACAAGGUACUGGAUCUAUUGACCACUAGUGCUACCCUGAUACCUAAAAAUAAAUUCAGAUCUUUCAAAGCUGAUGAUAUUUGUGAGUUAGUGAAGAAAUAUUAUCCAGCUGAUUUCACCCAACAGGAAAUCUAUGGAUUGGAGCAGCAACUAAAACACUUUGUUGUGGAUGCCUCCAAUGACAAAGAGUUGAAAAAUGUGUCAACCUUAACAAAUCUUUGUCGAUAUCUUUUCGAGACAGGGAGACAUUCUAUCUACAAUCUGAUUGAUCGAUUGUUGCGAUUGCUUCUAACUCUUCCAGUUUCUACAGCAAGCGCCGAGCGAGCAUUCUCAACCUUAAAGAUCAUUAAGACAAGGCUACGCAAUACCAUGGAAGAUGAUUAUCUAGCCAAUAGCUUGCUAGUAAAAAUAGAGAGUGAAAUCACGGAGAAGUACAGCUAUGAAGAUGUUCUUAUGCACUUUAAGGGUGCAAAGAAACGAAAAGCUAAUCUGUAG
rnacentral:rRNA from 1 species